AACAACUUUAUCGCCCUUUCCCUUUUCGUUUCCCAUCCCUAAAUUUCCAAGUACCUACGGUGGCUUGCAAGGGAGGAGGAGCUGCCCUGGCGUGGCACUGUAGGUCGCUAGUCGUGUGGGCGGCCGGCGACGGACACGGCUUCUCGUCAGCGGCCGCCAGUUGCCGCUCGUCUAAUUUUUCUCCGCCGCGAAACUUUUUCGCGGCGAAUAGGGCGAGGAUAGGCGAGGACGUUGGAGGUGCCAGGGGUGCCCUCCAAGCAAGCGGAGGCUAUCACGCCGGUCAUCAUCGAGCGUGAUGAUUCAGGAUGUCAAUCUCUCCAAAUUCAUCUUGGAAAUGAAGAGCUCCCAGCACCUACUUGAUAGUUGAGCUUCUUAGGAGCUUUGACCUCUAAAACUACUGAGAGAUGGUCUUUGUUUCCAGUUCACAGUCCAUCCCUCUCAGGAGCAUCAAUUUGCACAUUUGCAACGAGAGAAUGACAAGUUUCGGGCUGAUACUGAGAACAAGCAUAGCGAUCUUCGAGCUGAUAUUAAGAAAUUGAGUAACGAAUUGCAACUGGAGUUUAAAAAAUUGUAUAGCACAGGUUGAAAAGUUAUACUGAGAAAUUACGAAGUGAAACGAGGACAGGGAUCGUAAAGCUUAGGGUCGAGAUUGAGAAAUUACAUAGCGAAGCGAGGGAACAGAAAAUUACUAUUUCGAUAUAUGUAGUUGGUUUUACGAUUUUUAUAAAUUAUGAUGUAAACUGUUUUCUGUGUCCACAAAAUAUACAUCAAUUAUGUAAGAUAAAUUUUACUUGAUCAUUCUAAUGCUAAAAGCUGGUCUUUUUUCUUUCA